rnacentral:lncRNA from 12 species
CUGGCAUCAGGAUCCUGUGUAGGAACGUUCUGUUGGAUAAGACACAAUGAGGCCCCUUAUCACAUCCUUAAUGCUGGGGGCAGGGGGGUGGCAUGUUUUCGUUUCUUGUUUACAGUUUUGCCCUGUUUCUUUGGCGUAGAUCCUCGGCCAGGAGCCAGAGAGCCCUCCUGCCGGUGCAGCGCCUUGAACCCUAGAGGUUGCCGCCGCGACCGCGACCGCGAAGGCGCGUCUUCCCUCUUUCUCGGGCCGAUCCCCGAGCUCGGGCUUGGUCGCGGCGCACGCUGCAGCCUGGAGCAACCCCCACACCCACCGAGGCUGAUUCCCAGGGGUGCCAGCCGCUUCCUCCCCACCCCUCUGAGGCGGUGCAGCGGUGUCCCGUCGUGGUUUUAAUUUGCAUUUCCCUGAUGAUUAAUGAGGCGGGGCACCGUUUCAUAUGCUCAUCGGCCUUUCCCUUUUCUGUGAAGUGCUCAUUCAAGUCUUCUGCCCCUUUUUCUAUUGGGUUACCUGCAUUUUUCUAAUGGGUUUAUAGGUAUUCUUUAUAUCUUUUGGGUAUGGGUUCUUUGUUGGAUAUGGCCUUGUAUGAAGUUCCUUUCUUCCAGUUCCAGGAUGAGUGCAUCCCUGUUGUUCUGAUGCCAGUCUCCUGCUAUUUUACCCAUUGAUCAUCCCUUUCAUGCCAUUGACUUCUUAUUCCUUGAACGUACCCUGCUAGGCACACUCCCACCUCAGGGCUGUACACAAGCUUCCAUUUCUGCCUGGAAUGUUCUUUCUCAGAGAUCCUUAUGGAUCUCUUCCCAAUCUCCUUCAGGUCUUUGCUCCAUUGUCCCUUUCUUGCUGAAGUCUUCUCUGAUUUAUGUGUUUGGUCUCACAACAGCUUUCGUACAUUGUAUCUGCCACCCUUAUCCAUCACUUAAAAAAGAAACUCUCUACCAACAAAAUUUUCAAACAUACACAAAAUUAGACUAGCAUAAAGGCCUUUCCACAUGUAUCUAUUAUUCAGCAUCAAUAAUUAGCAUCAUUUUUUGCAAUCUUAUUUUGUCUAUAAAUACUUCAAUCUGCAUCUUUAAUAGAUAAGUACUUUUUUGGGGAAUAGUCACCACACCAUUAUCAAAUCUAACAAAAUCAAUAGCAUCAUACAAUCUUAGCACAUGUUCAAAUUUCCUACUUGUCUCAGAAAUGUCUUGUUCUAGUUGAUAUUUUUUUUAGUUGAUAUGUUUGAAUUAAGGUCCAAAGUGUGUACAUCACUUUAAAAUGUUUCCAUGGCAACAUCACCAUCCAAAACUAUACAUUUUACAUAUUUGUGUGCUUAUUGUCUCUGUCUCUCUCAAUUGAACAUCAGCUUCAAGAGAGUAGGAUUUUUAUUUUGUUCUUUGCUAGUCUUCAGCACCUAGUAGGCUUGAAAAAAUGUUUGUAGAAUGAAUGAACAAACAAAGUUGGCAACAUGGACCUAAUAACCCCAAGAGAAUGCUUGACAACUUGGUCAAAUCUGCUACUUUCCAGCUCUAAAACUUUGGACAAUUUCAUGAGCUUCAAUUUUCUUAUCUGUAAAAUGAGUCUAAUACCAACUUUGUGGAAUUAUUAUGGCAAUUAGACAAAGUAUGUGUACAGGGUCUGGUACCCAGUGUGCUGCUCAGUAAAGCUGUUAACUGCAACUGCUUUUAUAAGGCAUAAGAAGAUAAAGGGUGUGUAUAAGGAAUUUGGCCUUGGCCAAAGAGGUCUGGCUUUUGCUCCUAGUUCCUAGGAGGUAACCUUUAAACCCUGGUUUAAAGUUUUCUGAGGGUUAUUCAUGGUAGGCCCCUAAGCCCACCCCUGGUAGUUUAUGCUGAGGUGACUCAUGGUAGGCUGCUUGGGCCAGGUAAUAGGAACCUGACCUCCAGGGAGUGGAGUGGGGCUAGAGACUAAGCUCCAAUUUCAUGGGCAAUUGGUCACUCAUACUUAUGUAAAAAGCCCCCAAUAAAAAAUCUAGACACUGAAGCUUGGGUGAGCUU